UAAUGUUGCAGAAAAAGGCAGAAAAAGACCAGUGGCUGGAAGGUGAAAACAGACAAAUUAAUAGUAGAAAUAAGGCACAAAUAUUUCAUAGUGAGGAUGAUUCACUAUUGGAUCAAAUUACCAAAGCAGGUGACAGAGUGUCCAUUUCUUGGUGUUUUCUAAUGAAGACUAGAUGCCUUUCUAGUGUAUGCUUGGAUCUAAAUUUCGCUACUAUGAUAUACAGGAGGGCUGUGAUAUGCAGAGGUCAGAUUCAAUCCUGUAAUGGUCCCUUCUUCUGGCCUUAAAGUCUACAAAUUAAAGAAAAACUGAGUGUGGCCAAAAAGCAGCUUCUGGGGCUUUACUGUGCAGCCAGCUUGCUCCCCAGACUCAGCUUUCAUUAGGUGGAAUUCAAGGGAAGGAACUCAGACAUCCAGAGAGGCUGGCCAGGAACAGGACAUCAACCUUAGAAGGGAGGUGAGGGUGUGGCAGUGACAUCACAAAAGUUUGUUGCAGGACCUCCGCCUAUUGGGAAACGUGGUGGGAAGGUGGUGACCUCACAGAGAUACCCUGACAUCAGCCAGGCAGAACAGAGGCACAAGGCAGGGGCAACCUCAGAGACUUCCAUGCCUUUGCAGCAACAGGGCUCCUAUGAGCAACUAUGAGCAACAAGGGUUCAAGGUCUCUCUUUGGAGAGUGAGAGAGAAUUAGGGUUAAUCUACACGAGCAUGAGAAGGAGCCUUGUCGGAGUUUUCUUCUUCCCUGCAACUGAUUUUGUAGUCCCUGUUUAGAAGGAUUUGCGGUAUCUAAAGGUUUGUGAGUGAAAACAAGAUAAAAAUGCAAGGAACAAUGCAGAUCUGGACUGGUUCCUACACUUGGGUCAGACUUUGAUGGCUUGAAAUGCACAGCCUAAAGAUCUCAGCCUCCUGGAAGGGGGAGGAAAAUCUCUGCGUAAUUAAGCUUCAUACCAAUCUACAGAAACAAUGGACAACAGCCAUUUGAACACAAAUAUGAAAUCUGGCACAGAGGGAAGGAGAUUAUACAUCCACAUCUAAUCAACUGGGCCUCAGUUUAACAUGACGCUUACUUGUAAACAAAAAAUAAUUACAUUUGGGUUUCUCUGUUUAUGUCAAGAGAAAAAAACAACAAAGAUUUUUUUGUUCUGUUUACUAAAAUCUUAGUAAGUGUGACACUGAUUAAAGUCCAAUUGCCAAGAAUGAAUAGUGAUAGUUUGAAAAGUGGCACAAAUAUUUUAUCUGAUGGGCAAUAUAUAUAACCAGCUUUUAAACUGCAAAAUAAUAUUGGUGUGUUGUUGGGGCACCAAAACAGGAGAACUGAGAAAAAUGAUUAUUAGAUUGUUCUAGGGAAUAAGGGGGUAAUGCAUAACUUUAUUACAUUGCCUAAAUGUUUGCAAUGAAACCCAAAACCACACAGAACUUGCCAGGAUUCAGGUUUCAUUGCAAACUUGAAACUCAGCUCUGGGGAUAGGUUUGCAAAUGUUUGCAAAACUAUUGAGUCAACCUGGGCCCUACCUCAAACAAACUGGAGUUAUGGUUUACAGUUGAAAGAGCCAUGGGAAAUGUGCAGUGUCAAAUCAAAACCAAGUGAAAUAGAGAGAAUUUGACAGUUUCACUUUGAAUUGUGGGGAUUGUUUUAACCAAAACUCAGACAUUUCAUAAUACAAGCAGACCAAAAUUGAUAGCCGUGUAAAGUAUAUACAGAGCAAUGGAAAGAAAACAUCAUGUUUAGAGUCUUUACCAUAAUAUCUACUUUUAUCUUACUGUGUCACUUCUAGACUAAAGAAUUGCAUUCACCUCUAGUUUAAUCCAGCUUUGAUGGGACUUUAGGUGGUGGAAAAGUCUGCCUGGUGAUUUGGUGGCCAGCAAUGCCCCAUUACCAUACCAUCACAAUCUUAAAUCAUUUAUCCUCAUAACACUCCUGUGAAAUAGUGAAGUGCUAUUAUCCCCCUUUUACAGAUGGGGCACUGAGAAAAUCUGCCUGGUUGAGAUGUAGGGCUUCAGAAGGGGCCAGCAGUACUGGCUAUGAGGAGUACAUGGCCAGGGAUUGGCAGGGGAGAGGAGGUAGUUCAGGGAUUCAGCACAUCCGGUUGGAAAGAUUCACUAGCAGGGCUCUUAGCAUCCCACGUCCCAUUAGAAACUAAAACUGUAUCUUUUCCAGGGGGAAAACAAUUGAUUUUUCCAUAGCAAUACCUAACCCAGGAGAGAUCUCACUCCAAAAUCCUAGCAGAGACAACGGCACAGAUUGUCAUUCGCUCAGUGUAGCUAGCAGAGAUAAAUCCCAGGUUGACCCCAACUAGCCACAUCAAGGUACAAAAUACAAGAGUUUUUAACUAAAGCAAGAGUCAGGAGGCUAGAGAAGAGCACGUGCACAAGCACGAGAAUGACUAUAGCCUACUGAGAGAGCACCUGCCUGCAAGGUGGGAGAUACGGGAUCCAGUUCCUCUGCUGCAAUGGCUAAUUAUUUAUUCACAGUGGCAUACUUUCAACAGGAGAGAGUGAGGGAAUCUGACAUCGGAAUGCUCCAUAUUCAUACUCACUCGAAAGGCGGCAGAUCCCUGUUCAAAUCACUUCUCAUCAGGAGGAGGGGUCCUUAAGCCCAGACUCUCCCAAAUCCCAGGUAAGUACCCUAACCACUGGGUAAAAGUUAUGAGGCAGAUGGUCUUCCUUCUCUAUCCUCCACAUACCCAAUGAUUAUCUGUUUUGUGUGACGAGCCUGGGGGCAGAUCUGACAGGGGUGCCCUAAGCAUAUAUGCCAGAUCAGACUGCACAUGCAGGUUGGGGUGAUGAAAUUCUAUUCUUCCUGGCUGCAAUCGCUCUUGGGCAGGGGUCUCAAACUCAUGGCCUACAGGCCAUCUGCAGCCGGAGCAGUUCCACUGCUGGGGAUUGCUGGGGAGCCUGAUGCAGGAUGGCAGCAUGAGUCAGGUCUCCCCGUAUUCACUGCAGCCGCAGGCGCUGCAGGGAAGUGGAAUG